rnacentral:rRNA from 1 species
GAUGAACGCUGGCGGCGUGCCUAACACAUGCAAGUCGAACGGACGAGAAGAGCUUGCUCUUCGAGUUAGUGGCGGACGGGUGAGUAACGCGUGAGCAACUUGCCUUUCAGAGGGGGACAACAGUUGGAAACGGCUGCUAAUACCGCAUAACAUAUAUUUUUCGCAUGGGAGAUAUAUCAAAGGAGCAAUCCGCUGAAAGAUGGGCUCGCGUUGGAUUAGAUAGUUGGUGGGGUAACGGCCUACCAAGUCAACGAUCCAUAGCCGGACUGAGAGGUUGAACGGCCACAUUGGGACUGAGACACGGCCCAGACUCCUACGGGAGGCAGCAGUGGGGGAUAUUGCACAAUGGGCGAAAGCCUGAUGCAGCAACGCCGCGUGAGGGAAGAAGGUCUUCGGAUUGUAAACCUUUGUCCUUGAUGACGAAUAAAGUGACGGUAAUCAAGGAGGAAGUCACGGCUAACUACGUG